rnacentral:rRNA from 1 species
GACGAACGCUGGCGGCGUGCUUAACACAUGCAAGUCGAACGGAAAGGCCCUGUUUUUGUGGGGUGCUCGAGUGGCGAACGGGUGUGUAACACGUGAGUAACCUGCCCUUGACUUUGGGAUAACUUCAGGAAACUGGGGCUAAUACCGGAUAUGAACACCUUCUGCAUGGUGGGGGUUGGAAAGUUUCGGCGGUUGGGGAUGCACUCGAGGCUUAUCAGCUUGUUGGUGGGGUAGUGGCGUACCACGGCUUUGACGGGUAGCCGGCCUGGGAGGGUGACCGGGCACAAUGGGACUGGGGUACGGCCCGGAGUCCUACGGGAGGCAGCAGUGGGGAAUAUUGCACAAUGGGCGGAAGGCUGAUGGAGCAACGCCGGGUGCGGGAUGACGGCCUUCAGGGUGUAAACCGGUUGAGACUGUGACGCAGAGUGAGUGACGGUAAUGGGUCAAGAAGCAACGGCUAACUACGUG